GCUAUUUAGGUUAGAGUUUGAUCAUGGCUCAGGACGAACGCUGGCGGCGUGCCUAACACAUGCAAGUCGAGCGGAAAGGCCUCCUUCGGGAGGUACUCGAGCGGCGAACGGGUGAGUAACACGUGAGCAACCUGCCUAGAUGUGGGGGAUAGCCGGCCCAACGGCCGGGUAAUACCGCAUAGGUUCCUUGGGGGGAGUCCUCUGGGGAGCAAACCUGUCGCAAGACGGGGCAUUUAGAGGGGCUCGCGGCCUAUCAGCUAGUUGGCGGUGUAACAGACCACCAAGGCGACGACGGGUAGCUGGUCUGAGAGGAUGGCCAGCCACACUGGGACUGAGACACGGCCCAGACUCCUACGGGAGGCAGCAGUGGGGAAUUUUGGACAAUGGGGGCAACCCUGAUCCAGCCAUGCCGCGUGUGUGAAGAAGGCCUUCGGGUUGUAAAGCACUUUCGGACGGAACGAAAUCGCGCGGGUGAAUAUCCCGCGUGGAUGACGGUACCGUAAGAAGAAGCACCGGCUAACUAUGUGCCAGCAGCCGCGGUAAUCGC
rnacentral:rRNA from 1 species